AACGAACGCUGGCGGCAGGCCUAACACAUGCAAGUCGAACGCCGUAGCAAUACGGAGUGGCAGACGGGUGAGUAACGCGUGGGAACAUACCCCUCGGUUCGGAAUAACUCAGGGAAACUUGAGCUAAUACCGGAUACGUCCGAGGUUUUAAUCGGCCUUGGAGAAAGAUUUAUCGCCGGAGGAUUGGCCCGCGUCUGAUUAGCUUGUUGGUGAGGUAAUGGCUCACCAAGGCGACGAUCAGUAGCUGGUCUGAGAGGAUGAUCAGCCACAUUGGGACUGAGACACGGCCCAAACUCCUACGGGAGGCAGCAGUGGGGAAUAUUGGACAAUGGGCGAAAGCCUGAUCCAGCCAUGCCGCGUGAGUGAUGAAGGCCUUAGGGUUGUAAAGCUCUUUCAGCGGGGAAGAUAAUGAC
rnacentral:rRNA from 1 species